ACUCAGUGAAAUUGAACUCGCUGUGAAGAUGCAGUGUACCCGCGGCAAGACGGAAAGACCCCGUGAACCUUUACUAUAGCUUGACACUGAACAUUGAGCCUUGAUGUGUAGGAUAGGUGGGAGGCUUUGAAGCGUGGACGCCAGUCUGCGUGGAGCCGACCUUGAAAUACCACCCUUUAAUGUUUGAUGUUCUAACGUGGACCCGUAAUCCGGGUUGCGGACAGUGUCUGGUGGGUAGUUUGACUGGGGCGGUCUCCUCCUAAAGAGUAACGGAGGAGCACGAAGGUUGGCUAAUCCUGGUCGGACAUCAGGAGGUUAGUGCAAUGGCAUAAGCCAGCUUGACUGCGAGCGUGACGGCGCGAGCAGGUGCGAAAGCAGGUCAUAGUGAUCCGGUGGUUCUGAAUGGAAGGGCCAUCGCUCAACGGAUAAAAGGUACUCCGGGGAUAACAGGCUGAUACCGCCCAAGAGUUCAUAUCGACGGCGGUGUUUGGCACCUCGAUGUCGGCUCAUCACAUCCUGGGGCUGAAGUAGGUCCCAAGGGUAUGGCUGUUCGCCAUUUAAAGUGGUACGCGAGCUGGGUUUAGAACGUCGUGAGACAGUUCGGUCCCUAUCUGCCGUGGGCGCUGGAGAACUGAGGGGGGCUGCUCCUAGUACGAGAGGACCGGAGUGGACGCAUCACUGGUGUUCGGGUUGUCAUGCCAAUGGCACUGCCCGGUAGCUAAAUGCGGAAGAGAUAAGUGCUGAAAGCAUCUAAGCACGAAACUUGCCCCGAGAUGAGUUCUCCCUGAGACUUAGAGUCUCCUGAAGGAACGUUGAAGACGACGACGUUGAUAGGCCGGGUGUGUAAGCGCAGCGAUGCGUUGAGCUAACCGGUACUAAUGAACCGUGAGGCUUAACCUUACAACGCCGAAG
rnacentral:rRNA from 1 species